rnacentral:rRNA from 1 species
GGUGACGACCUCGGGAGCUUGCACAGGUGCUGCAUGGCUGUCGUCAGCUCGUGUCGUGAGAUGUUCGGUUAAGUCCGCUAACGAGCGCAACCCUCGCUGUGUGUUAUAUGUGUCACACGGGACUGCCGGUCUUAAGCCGGAGGAAGGUGGGGAUGAUGUCAAGUCAGCAUGGCCUUUAUAUCCUGGGCUACACACACGCUACAAUGGCCAACACAAUAGGUUGCUAAGCCGCGAGGUGGCGCCAAUCCAUAAAGUUGGUCUCAGUUCAGAUUGUAGGCUGCAACCCGCCUGCAUGAAGAUGGAGUUGCUAGUAACCGCAGGUCAGCUAUACUGCGGUGAAUACGUUCCCGGGGCUU